GGAAAAUGCUACCAACGCAGAACAGCAACGGAACAACACGACAGAUGGAGGUUCAGGUGCAGCUGAACUGCUGAAGGCAACAAUAGGUUGCAAACUCUAAUGAUUGAGGAAGAAUUUGCUACGCCAAAAAAGAAAGCCAGCAUUCUUCUAUUUUGCUGGUCUUUUAAACCAAGAUGCGACG